rnacentral:rRNA from 1 species
CGUGCAGGCGGCUGGAUAAGUCUGAUGUGAAAGCCCGGGGCUCAACCCCGGAAGUGCAUUGGAAACUGUCUGGCUUGAGUACCGGAGAGGAUGGGGGAAUUCCCGGUGUAGAGGUGAAAUUCGUAGAGAUCGGGAGGAAUACCAGUGGCGAAGGCGCCCAUCUGGACGGAUACUGACGCUGAGACGCGAAAGCGUGGGGAGCAAACA